rnacentral:lncRNA from 1 species
CGCGGCAAACGGGAUUUGGCAACAGCUGAUUCGAAAUAAAAUACAUAGGAACUAAUAAAGUCUCUUGCGCAAAUUGAGAAGAAAUCUGGGAGCUCAUACUUUUGGGCUAGUCUUAUAAAUAGAAAGAAAGAAACAGCUAUGGUCAAGGAAGUUUUACUCGGACACACAUGAGUGGCGAUCUAAUCUUCGGAUCGAUAGUCAUUAGAGUGUUGAUAUCUGU